rnacentral:rRNA from 1 species
UGGUGAGUAACACGUAAGCAACCUGCCUAUCAGAGGGGAAUAACAGUGAGAAAUCAUUGCUAAUACCGCAUAAGCUAGUAGUAUCACAUGAUACAGCUAGAAAAGGAGUAAUCCGCUGAUAGAUGGGCUUGCGCCUGAUUAGCUAGUUGGUGGGGUAACGGCCUACCAAGGCGACGAUCAGUAGCCGAACUGAGAGGUUGAACGGCCACAUUGGGACUGAGAUACGGCCCAGACUCCUACGGGAGGCAGCAGUCGGGAAUAUUGCGCAAUGGAGGAAACUCUGACGCAGUGACGCCGCGUAUAGGAAGAAGGUUUUCGGAUUGUAAACUAUUGUCGUGAGGGAAGAAGAUGACAGUACCUCAGGAGGAAGCUCCGGCUAACUAUGUGCCAGCAGCCGCGGUAAUACAUAGGGAGCAAGCGUUAUCCGGAAUUAUUGGGUGUAAAGGGUGCGUAGACGGGAAAUUAAGUUAGUUGUGAAAUCCCUUGGCUUAACUGAGGAACUGCAACUAAAACUGAUUUUCUUGAGUACUGGAGAGGAAAGUGGAAUUCCUAGUGUAGCGGUGAAAUGCGUAGAUAUUAGGAGGAACACCAGUGGCGAAGGCGACUUUCUGGACAGUAACUGACGUUGAGGCACGAAAGUGUGGGGAGCAAACAGGAUUAGAUACCCUGGUAGUCCACACUGUAAACGAU